GUGAAUCAUCAAAUUUUUGAACGCAAAUUGCACUCUCCGGUUUUCCGGGAGAGUAUGCCUGUUUUAGGUUCUGUUUAAAAAAUAAUUGAGGUUGCUGCUGUGGUGUCGCUUCGGAAUUGGGUAAUUUUCCUCCUUUCGGGGUUGUAAGCGACCUAUAAUUUUUUUUACGAUUUCUAGGAACUUGUCUAAGUAUUUUUUGUCC
rnacentral:misc_RNA from 1 species